CGUCACCGGCCGCCCCGAGGGCGCUGGGGAGCCUCGUGCGCGCGCGGCGGGGCCUGGCACGGCCGCUGCCUCCCGACACCCCCCGCCGGGCUGGGCAGCCCUGGAAGUCCCUGGAAAUCCCUGCCGAAUCCCGGGUCGCCGCCGCCCACUUGUCUCCCGUGGGCGGCUCAGGAUGGAAAACACCGUGCUGUGGCGCGGGAGGGCCGAGCCGCGGGGGGCGGAGCGGCGGCAGGGGACGCGCGGCUGCGCCGGAGGCCCGGAUUGAACAACAUGCGCAAGUAGACAUGGAUAUCCAGUUAGGAAGGUCAUUCUGCCAUCUGCCUUCAGAGCUGAGAAGAAGCUUCAUCAUCCAGGUCUAGCAGAAAACUCUAUUCAAGCACGUACAGUUUUCCAAAUCUGCUCUAACUCCCGUCAUCCAUUGUCAAAACAAAAGUAAGGUGAAUGAAAAGACGCUGUGUGCAAAGGCACAGAAACAAAUUCUAAUGUAGCUGUUUUAAUUAUGGAUAUUUACUGUUCUGUGGGUUACCUGCCAUUCAUUUUCCCUGCUGACAAACAUCUGAAGACGUGUUUUGAAUGUCCCUUGACUUCUUCAACCACAUUUGUCAUACUAGUAUCUAUUUAUAUAGAGAUUCAGUCAGCUUGAGAAAAAAUAAGAAGAUGGUGGCCCUGAGAUCUAAAGAAUCAGAAUCUUCUUUCCUGGAAGUUACUUCUGCCUGAGGUUUUAAACUGAUGCUUUCUGAAGGCCAGGAAAUCAAAUAAAAAAAAAAAAAAGCAGGAUGUAAUGUUGUGUCUGCAUGUAGUCCAGAAAGCCCAUGUAAAAAAAAAAAUCCUCCAAUACAGCAGUGAAAGAGAGAUGAACAAAUGUGGAAUAUGUUAUAAUCAAAAAGCCAUGGAAAUAUAAAUAGAUAACCAGAUCCAUAAAGCUAAGGUCUACCACAUCUUCAUGUCACUAUCAGGAUGACUAACUUUGGGAUUGAUGAGCCAGAUUGGUUUCAGCAGUAUUCAACACCAAAAGCAGCAUGACAACUCCUUCUUCAUUUACUACUGGGGUAGAUACCGAGAGUCCAGACUGUAAUAAGUACUUGAUGUGUGACUCAGAGCUGCAGGGGACUGUAAUGUCUGAAGACUUAGAGUUAGAGGAUGAAAUACACUCUUUACUCUUCAUUUCACAGAAAAAAAGAAAAGACGUGGAAACAUAAAGGAGCUUCAUCAUCUGCUCUUCCUGGGGAAAAAAAAAAUCAUGCUGACAAAGACUUCUUUUGAAAAGCUGGAAGAGCAACAUUCACUGUGAUAUAUUGAUCCUUUGGAAGCAGCUGAUAUUGGCGAAGCCCACUCCAUCACCUAGGAGUCUGACAGUCCUGGUAACAGGCUGGCCAAACGGCAUGAACCUGAUUUUUGCGUUGCUUACAUCCCUGUGCUAGCAGCUGUUAUCAUAGUAUUAGCCUUCUGUAGUCCUUAUGUAACCUCUUGAAACUUAUAUGGGCUCUAUGCUCUGAGACUACCUGCCAAAUAUUUAAAAAAAGAAUCAUCAUCACCUCUCUCCUUCUAUUCAUUUUCCACCUGGGGAGAAAAUAGCUUGAUUAGUUUGGGUGAUGAUAGGAAGCUGGAGGAAAUCCAAUCAUGAUUUUUCAGUGUGAAGGGUUUAUUUCCUUUCAUUUCAUUCAUUUCCAUUCAGCUGAAGGUAAUGAGGUUAUGCAGGUCUGAUUUGAAGGGCACAAUUUUGAAAUGAUGGGUUUUGCUUAGGUACAUUAUAGCUUUAAAUUGGUGAUUUUGAUGAAGUUGCAUAAACUGGAGUAUAAUGCGGUUUCUUUCCCCCAGAGAUAUGGUGGCUCAGCAGGGAAGAUAUGCAGUGAUAUUUUUUUCUUUUUUUUUUUUCUCUCUCCCCACUAAAGUGCACAAGAACAGAUCUGCUGAGUAGGAAGUGCUAUUUUUACAUAAUCACUUUUCAAUCCAGAUCCUCACUGUAGACAUUUUGAAGAGACCAAAC